rnacentral:rRNA from 1 species
AUUGAACGCUGGCGGCAGGCCUAACACAUGCAAGUCGAGCGAGCGGCGGACGGGUGAGUAAUGUCUGUGAAACUCCCUGAUGGAGGGGGAUAACUACUGGAAACGGUAGCUAAUACCGCAUACCAUCCGAGUUGCCCAGAUGGGCUUGGCUCGUAGGUGGGGUAACGGCUCACCUAGGCGACACUCCCUAGCGGGUCUGAGAGGAUGACCAGCCACACGGGAACUGAGACACGGUCCAGACUCCUACGGGAGGCAGCAGUGGGGAAUAUUGCAAAAUGGGCGCAAUCCUGAUGCAGCCAUGCCGCGUGUGUGAAGAAGGCCUUCGGGUUGUAAAGCACUUUCAGCGGGGAGGCGUUACCCGCAGAAGAAGCACCGGCUAACUCCGUGCCAGCAGCCGCGGUAAUUC